UGGGGAAUUUUGGACAAUGGGCGCAAGCCUGAUCCAGCCAUGCCGCGUGCGGGAAGAAGGCCUUCGGGUUGUAAACCGCUUUUGUCAGGGAAGAAAUCUUCUGAGUUAAUACCUCGGGAGGAUGACGGUACCUGAAGAAUAAGCACCGGCUAACUACGUGCCAGCAGCCGCGGUAAUACGUAGGGUGCAAGCGUUAAUCGGAAUUACUGGGCGUAAAGCGUGCGCAGGCGGUUUUGUAAGACAGAGGUGAAAUCCCCGGGCUCAACCUGGGAACUGCCUUUGUGACUGCAAGGCUUGAGUGCGGCAGAAGGGGAUGGAAUUCCGCGUGUAGCAGUGAAAUGCGUAGAUAUGCGGAGGAACACCGAUGGCGAAGGCAAUCCCCUGGGCCUGCACUGACGCUCAUGCACGAAAGCGUGGGGAGCAAACAGGAUUAGAUAGCCCUGGUAGUCCACGCCCUAAACGAUGUCAACUGGUUGUUGGGAAGGUUCCUUCUCAGUAACGUAGCUAACGCGUGAAGUUGACCCGCCUGGGGAGUACGGCCGCAAGGUU
rnacentral:rRNA from 1 species